rnacentral:rRNA from 1 species
UGGGGAAUAUUGGGCAAUGGGCGCAAGCCUGACCCAGCAACGCCGCGUGAGGGAAGAAGGCCUUCGGGUUGUAAACCUCUGUCCCAAGGGACGAAAAAAAUGACGGUACCUUGGGAGGAAGCUCCGGCUAACUACGUGCCAGCAGCCGCGGUAAUACGUAGGGAGCGAGCGUUGUCCGGAAUUACUGGGCGUAAAGGGUGCGUAGGCGGCAUUGCAAGUCAGAUGUGAAAUCCCCGGGCUUAACUCGGGAUCUGCAUUUGAAACUGCAGUGCUUGAGUGCAGGAGAGGAAAGCGGAAUUCCUAGUGUAGCGGUGAAAUGCGUAGAUAUUAGGAGGAACACCAGUGGCGAAGGCGGCUUUCUGGACUGUAACUGACGCUGAGGCACGAAAGCGUGGGGAGCAAACA